rnacentral:lncRNA from 1 species
CAAGAACACACAGCCAGACCCAGUUUGGUCCAGGAACAACAUCUGGCAAGCUAGCCAAGAGUCACUGAAAUGGUGCUGCACUCAGUGGCCCGUGAUUGUGGCGAGAUGGUCAUUUGGAGACUCCCAGAAGCUGCUGGAUAAGAUUGUCCUGGGGACUCUCCCAGGGGCUAUUCCAUGUGCAAAAACCACAUGUCCCUCUCACCACUGGGGAAGAAUGGUGAUCAGGCAGGAGUGGAUGCACUCAAAGGGAAAAGUCUUUCUCUAGGACCUGGAAAUGAUUGCUCGGAAAUGUAAACAGCAAAAAAGUUAGAGCCCUAUCGCACAGCUUGCUCCAAGUUUCAAAAUUACCUUCUGUCCCUCCUGGACUUGGGACCAUUAUUUUUCCUUCAGAUAUGCCAGUCAGCAACCACAGAUGGCCUCCCCAAUUACCAGACUCACUCAGACAUUGCUGCCUUCUCCAGCCUCUUUAAACUUUAAAGGCCAGCAGAGAAUGCUAUGUUUCAGGAUGGUGAUUGGUGGUUUUCACUUUGGACCAUAAGCAUCCGUAUUGUGCUCACCUGCUGCUGUGUAAGACAUGCCUACUUCUGCUUUCACCAUGAUUACAAGUUUCCUGAGACCUCCCCAGCCAUGCAGAA